AAACUAACAAGGAUUCCCCUAGUAGCGGCGAGCGAAGCGGGAAGAGCUCAAAUUUGUAAUCUGGCACCUUCGGUGUCCGAGUUGUAAUCUCGAGAAGUGUUUUCCGCGCCAGACCGCAUAUAAGUCUGUUGGAAUACAGCGUCAUAGUGGUGAGAACCCCGUACAUGAUGUGGAUGCCUGGUGCUCUGUGAUACACUUUCGAAGAGUCGAGUUGUUUGGGAAUGCAGCUCAAAUUGGGUGGUAAAUUCCAUCUAAAGCUAAAUAUUGGCGAGAGACCGAUAGCGAACAAGUACCGUGAGGGAAAGAUGAAAACACUUUGGAAAGAGAGUUAACAGUACGUGAAAUUGUUGGAAGGGAAACGCUUGAAGUCAGACUUGCUAUUUGGUGUUCAGCCGCAAGGCGUAUUCAUCAAUUUGCAGGCCAGCAUCAGUUUUCGGGGGUAGAAAAGGGUAUUGAGAACGUGGCUGUCUCGGCAGUGUUAUAGCUCUUUACUGGAUUUAUCCUUGGGGACUGAGGAACGCAGUACGCUUUUUGCAAUCUCUUCGGGGAUUUCGUACUUAGGAUGCUGGUGGAAUGGCUUUAAACGAC
rnacentral:rRNA from 1 species